rnacentral:rRNA from 2 species
AACCAUCGAGUCUUUGAACGCAAGUUGCGCCUGAGGCCAACCGGCCAAGGGCACGUCUGCCUGGGCGUCAAGC